GACGAACGCUGGCGGCGUGCUUAACACAUGCAAGUCGAGCGGUAAGGCCCUUUCGGGGGUACACGAGCGGCGAACGGGUGAGUAACACGUGGGUGACCUGCCCCCACGCUCUGGGAGUAAGCCUCGGGAACCGGGUCGUAAUACCGGAUAUGACUCCAUGACGCAUGUUGUGGGGUGGGAAAGACCUUGUGCGGCUGAGGAUGGGCCCGCGGCCUAUCAGCUUGUUGGUGGGGUGAUGGCCACCAA
rnacentral:rRNA from 1 species